UACAGAGGGGGCAAGCGUUGUUCGGAAUUACUGGGCGUAAAGGGCGCGUAGGCGGCCUGCUAAGUCGAACGUGAAAUCCCCGGGCUCAACCUGGGAACUGCAUUCAAAACUGACGAGCUAGAGUAUGGUAGAGGGUGGUGGAAUUUCCUGUGUAGCGGUGAAAUGCGUAGAUAUAGGAAGGAACACCAGUGGCGAAGGCGACCACCUGGACUGAUACUGACACUGAGGUGCGAAAGCGUGGGGAGCAAACAGG
rnacentral:rRNA from 1 species